AUUGAACGCUGGCGGCAGGCCUAACACAUGCAAGUCGAACGAGUGGCGGACGGGUGAGUAAUGUCUGGGAAACUGCCUGAUGGAGGGGGAUAACUACUGGAAACGGUAGCUAAUACCACGUACCAUCGGAUGUGCCCAGGUGGGCUUAGCUAGUUGGUGGGGUAAAGGCUCACCAAGGCGACGCUCCCUAGCUGGUCUGAGAGGAUGACCAGCCACACUGGAACUGAGACACGGCCCAGACUCCUACGGGAGGCGGCAGUGGGGAAUAUUGCACAAUGGGCGCAAGCCUGAUGCAGCCAUGCCGCGUGAAUGAAGAAGGCCUUCGGGUUGUAAAGUACUUUCAGUGGGGAGGCGUUACCCGCAGAAGAAGCACCGGCUAACUCCGUGCCAGCAGCCGCGGUAAUAC
rnacentral:rRNA from 1 species